AAUGGGGGAAACCCUGACGCAGCAACGCCGCGUGGGUGAUGAAGGCCUUCGGGUCGUAAAGCCCUUUUGGUUGGGACGAAAAAAAUGACGGUACCGACAGAAAAAGCACCGGCUAACUCUGUGCCAGCAGCCGCGGUAAUACAGAGGGUGCAAGCGUUAUUCGGAAUCACUGGGCGUAAAGCGCGCGUAGGCGGCUUGGUAAGUUUGUUGUGAAAGCCCUCGACUUAAUCGAGGAAGUGCAAUGAGAACUGCCAGGCUGGAGUAUAGGAGAGGAGAACGGAAUUCCUGGUGUAGAGGUGAAAUUCGUAGAUAUCAGGAGGAACAACGGUGGCGAAAGCGGUUCUCUGGACUAUUACUGACGCUGAUAGCGCGAAAGCGUGGGGAGCAAA
rnacentral:rRNA from 1 species